GACGAACGCUGGCGGCGUGCUUAACACAUGCAAGUCGAACGGAAAGGCCCUGCUUUUGCGGGGUGCUCGAGAGGCGAACGGGUGAGUAACACGUGAGUAACCUGCACUUGUCUUUGGGAUAUCUUUAGGAAAAUGGGGCUCUUACAGCAUAGGAGCUCCUGCUGCAUGGUGGGGGUUGGAAAGAUUCGGCGGUUGGGGAUGGACGCGCGGCUUAUCAGCUUGUUGGUGGGGUAGUGGCUUACCAAGGCUUUGACGGGUAGCCGGCCUGAGCGGGUGACCGGCCACAGUGGGACUGAGAGACGGCCCAGACUCCUACGGGAGGCAGCAGUGGGGAAUAGUGCACAAUGGGCGGAAGCCUGAUGCAGCAACGCCGCGUGCGGGAUGACGGCCUUCGGGUUGUAAACCGCUUUCGCCUGUGACGAAGCGUGAGUGACGGUAAUGGGUAAAGAAGCACCGGCUAACUACGUG
rnacentral:rRNA from 1 species